UACGAAGGGUGCAAGCGUUACUCGGAAUUACUGGGCGUAAAGCGUGCGUAGGUGGUUUGUUAAGUCUGAUGUGAAAUCUAUGGGCUCAACUCAUAGUCUGCAUCGGAAACUGCCGGGCUUGAGUAUGGGAGAGGUGAGUGGAAUUCCUGGUGUAGCGGUGAAAUGCGUAGAUAUCAGGAGGAACACCUGUGGCGAAAGCGGCUCACUGGACCAUAACUGACGCUCAUGCACGACAGCGUGGGGAUCAAACAGG
rnacentral:rRNA from 1 species